CAUUGCUGCGUGCUAUCUUACCGCCGCGUAUGGAUCUCCUCUCGUCUUCCUUUCGAAUGCACACGAGCUUCUACUCUGCUUUCGUGCUCUCUUUUGUAUGGCUGGCAGCAGCGGCGAAAGCCUUUUGUGUUGCCCGCCGAGAAAAGACGAAUCGCUCUUACCAACACCGGCCUUCUUCAACGGCGCGUUACCGUCGCGCAUAAGAAAGCCUGAUUUUUAGAAAGACAUUUACACAAAGAAAAACGCGUCUGGAGUAAGAGAUAAAUAAGUAUACACGAACAAGCUUAAAAAACACAAGAAACUUGACAGUACACCAAACUGUGAUAGAAAUAUACAAACAAAUUUAAUACUCAUUUGCAAGUGCAAUAGUACUUAUAGUGCAUGUAAACUAAGCAUUUGAUGAAUAAAUGAAAGAAAAUGAAAAUAAAAACAUCGUCAUCUAUCGACAAUUAUUUAGUCGAACCUCAAGGACAAAAACUG